GAUGAAGAACGUACCGAAAUGCGAUAAGUAAUGUGAAUUGCAGAAUUCAGUGAAUCAUCGAAUCUUUGAACGCACAUUGCGCCCGCCAGCAUUCUGGCGGGCAUGCCUGUUCGAGCGUCAUUUCAACCCUCAAGCUCUGCUUGGUGUUGGGGCCCUACGGUUGACGUAGGCCCUUAAAGGUAGUGGCGGACCCUCUCGGAGCCUCCUUUGCGUAGUAACUAACGUCUCGCAUUGGGAUUCGGAGGGACUCUUGCCGUAAAACCCCCAAAUUUUCUAAUGGUUGACCUCGGAUCAGGUAGGAAUACCCGCUGAACUUAAGCAUAUCAAUAAGCGGAGGA
rnacentral:misc_RNA from 1 species